CAACCUGCUUGGCUCAAGAUGUCUAAUCUUCUCACUGCUGCUGCAACACUUCUUCCUGGUGAAUCUUCUCAAGAUGUUGGACGAUGGUGUUGCUGCCCUGGGAGCACCACCUGCCAGUAAACAAGUCAUGGCAAACCUCCCAGUUACUAUUGUCAUAAAUGAGUUCUUGAUGAAGCUUGGUACAUAUAUGGAGUAUCCAAUUUUCAGGGAGGUGUUAGUUUUAGAUUACAAGAUGCAAGAGUUUCCCAGCAAGCAUAUGUUUCACCUCCUUGCCUGAAGCAAUGGUUGGUAAGUGAGGUGAAGAUUGUCAAACAACAUAUAAGGAUAAAUAGACAAAUAGCAUUAAUUGUACUAUUCUCCCGUCAUAGAUGUGGUAUAAUGUCCUAAGGAAGCAUACAAGAAAGCAAGGAGCUA